CACGUAGGGCGCAAGCGUUGUCCGGAAUUAUUGGGCGUAAAGAGCUCGUAGGCGGUCUGUUACGUCUGCUGUGAAAACCCUGGGCUUAACCCUGGCCUUGCAGUGGAUACGGGCAGACUAGAGGUAGGUAGGGGAGAAUGGAAUUCCCGGUGUAGCGGUGAAAUGCGCAGAUAUCGGGAGGAACACCGGUGGCGAAGGCGGUUCUCUGGGCCUUACCUGACGCUGAGGAGCGAAAGCGUGGGGAGCGAACAGG
rnacentral:rRNA from 1 species